rnacentral:rRNA from 1 species
UACGUAGGGAGCAAGCGUUGUCCGGAAUCAUUGGGCGUAAAGCGCGCGUAGGCGGCCUCGUAAGUCCGUUGUGAAAGUCAAAGGCUCAACCUUUGAAAGCCGAUGGAUACUGUGAGGCUAGAGUCCGGAAGAGGCGAGUGGAAUUCCUGGUGUAGCGGUGGAAUGCGCAGAUAUCAGGAGGAACACCAAUAGCGAAGGCAGCUCGCUGGGACGGUACUGACGCUAAGGCGCGAAGCGUGGGGAGCGAACAGGA